rnacentral:piRNA from 1 species
UAAAAAGAAAAAGGAAAAAGAAAGACACAGUG